rnacentral:sRNA from 1 species
AAGAACCUAUACAAGACUCAUUGCAAAAUGAGGAGGCCGGAGUCCAGUUGUGGGUCAUUCUAUUGAUAGUUGGACUACUAAUACUUCUUGUUGCUGUGAUCAUUGUGGUGGUCUUCAUUAAAACUAACUUCCCUAGAAACACAUACCCACUGGAGAAAACAGAGUUAAAACACCACCUUAACCCGGAAGAAGAUCUGCUCAACCAAUCAUUCCAAGAGAUAUAAAUAACUUUGCGCUGACGCAACUAGCACACAUAAAGUGUCAUUUCCUAUUCGAUUGUUUGCAUAUCAAGUAAAUACACAGAACUAUUAAAGACUGAAAUAACAAUAAUAGUUAAUAUUUCGGUACCAAUGCUACUUUAAAAAAUUUAAACACUUAAUUUAAUAGAUAUUGGAAAGUCUUCAAAUCGUUGUUCUGAUUGAACAAAACUCUAAAACAAUCAGUCAUAGCUUUAAUUGUAUGAAAUGCAUUCACUGCAUAAAGAUAAUAGAGUACCUGUUUCCACUGACCUAAACUGGAAAUGUAAGUCUACUCAUCCAUGACCCUUUCUUUGUCUAAUAUUUGUUAUACCAUUGAAACUUACAUUAUAUGUAUAUUUUGUAUGUUCAAAUAUGACAUUAUUAUUGUUUGCACAAUUUAUGUUCCGAUUUGCUGCAUUGACUAUAAGGAGUGCUUGUGGCUUUAUGUGGCAGUCCUCGUAGGCAGCCCAGACAAUAUAAUCGCCUCCAUGCUUGUAGAAGCAUAUGUCUUAAAAUAAAUGUGCAAAGAAAAAAGAAAAUUCUGACUUCGCUGCAACGUGACCGAAUUUGAUAGAAACCAAUCAAAACUUUGAAUACACUCACAUCUGCAGAAGUUAUAAUUUCAAAAAAAUAUUUUUCUGUUUUUUUUAAAUAUCUUUAUUAUAUAAAAAAAAAUAGCAAAAAAUCAAUUAUAGCAAGCAUUAACCCAUACCUAUUUAAUAAUUGAGUGAAUAAAAAGAGAACUUGUUUCUCAAACUCCACCCCCACCCCAAGCCACACAA